UCAUUGUUCAUAAACGAAAACAUUUUAUCGUUUUGAAAUGUGGCAUCAGUUGAUGCACUGAGAUGGAGUAACAAAUAUAAUAUAUUUUGCUUAUGCGGCGCAAACAGACUCCGCACGAUGGAUCGAGGAUGCAAUGGAAGACGUCGAUCCAAAAGGCUUCCUUGCAGUGAGAUGGGCUGCAUGUUUUGCCGCUGUCUGGAGUUGCUUUUCUAAACUUGGCUUUGCUUUAGCUGAAAUCAGUUGGUCUCAUCUCCUAACUAGAGCAGCAGAGUGUGAAGAUAGUCGUCCUGAAUCAAGUAAGCUAUUUGCUAGGUCAGGUUACAGGUAAGCAUGCAUGGUAGCAUCCAUGUACCGGUCGAGACUUGAACUGGAACUAGAAUAUUGCACGACGAUGCGUCCUUUUGUUGACAGUUGGACUAAGGGAAGGGAAGGGACGUAUUGGAUGAAGAAAGGCCUAGUGUAAUUCUUCUAUUGCCAACCAAUACAUUGACAUUGUAAGAUGCUGAAACAUGUUAGUCGAACCGUGGCAGUGUGAAGUGAAUCUUGUAGAAACUUUUGAA